rnacentral:misc_RNA from 1 species
GAUGAAGAACGUAGCGAAAUGCGAUACGUAAUGUGAAUUGCAGAUCUCUCAGUGAACCAUCGAAUUUUUGAACGCACAUAGCGCCCGCCGGUCAUUCCGGCGGGCAUGCCUGUCCGAGCGUCGAUGACGCCGCUCGAGCCCCCGUGCUCGGUGUUGGGGCGCUAGGUCUCCCAGAGGCCUAGGCCCCCAAGUAGCAGUGCGCGGUCCGGCUGCGGGCCCCGGGUACAGUAACUUCACUGUUGAGAUGCCCUGGGAGCCGCUGGCUGGUUCAGCCGUAAAACCCCCGACAUAGGCCUUCCUGUCCGCCCCCGGCGGGGAGGGAGACCGCCUAAUGUUGACCUCGGAUCAGGUAGGACUACCCGCUGAACUUAAGCAUAUCAAUAAGCGGAGGA